GAUGAACGCUGGCGGCGUGCCUAAUACAUGCAAGUCGAGCGAACAGACGAGGAGCUUGCUCCUCUGACGUUAGCGGCGGACGGGUGAGUAACACGUGGAUAACCUACCUAUAAGACUGGGAUAACUUCGGGAAACCGGAGCUAAUACCGGAUAAUAUAUUGAACCACAUGGUUCAAUAGUGAAAGACGGUUUUGCUGUCACUUAUAGAUGGAUCCGCGCCGCAUUAGCUAGUUGGUAAGGUAACGGCUUACCAAGGCAACGAUGCGUAGCCGACCUGAGAGGGUGAUCGGCCACACUGGAACUGAGACACGGUCCAGACUCCUACGGGAGGCAGCAGUAGGGAGUCUUCCGCAAUGGGCGAAAGCCUGACGGAGCAACGCCGCGUGAGUGAUGAAGGUCUUCGGAUCGUAAAACUCUGUUAUUAGGGAAGAACAAAUGUGUAGGUAACUAUGCACGUCUUGACGGUACCUAAUCAGAAAGCCACGGCUAACUACGUG
rnacentral:rRNA from 1 species